rnacentral:rRNA from 1 species
GAAUAUUGGACAAUGGGGGGAACCCUGAUCCAGCCAUGCCGCGUGUGUGAAGAAGGCCUUUUGGUUGUAAAGCACUUUACGCGAGGAGGAGGCGCUCUUGUUUACUACCCACGAUGCUUCGACGUUCCUCUCAGAAUAAUCACCGGCUCACUCUGUGCCCUCCGCCGCGGUAAUACAGAGGGUGCAAGCGUUAAUCGGAUUUACUGGGCGUAAAGCGCGCGUAGGUGGCCAAUUAAGUCAAAUGUGAAAGCACCGAGCUUAACUUGGGAAGUGCAUUCGAUACUGGUUGGCUAGAGUAUGGGAGAGGAUGGUAGAAUUCCAGGUGUAGCGGUGAAAUGCGUAGAGAUCUGGAGGAAUACCGAUGGCGAAGGCAGCCAUCUGGCCUAAUACUGACACUGAGGUGCGAAAGCAUGGGGAGCAAACA